rnacentral:rRNA from 1 species
CCUACGAGGGGCAGCAGUGAGGAAUAUUGGUCAAUGGGCGCAAGCCUGAACCAGCCAAGUCGCGUGAGGGAUGACGGUCCUAUGGAUUGUAAACCUCUUUUGUCGGGGAGCAAGGCCCGCCACGUGUGGCGGGUAGGAUAGUACCCGAAGACAAAGCAUCGGCUAACUCCGUGCCAGCAGCCGCGGUAAUACGGAGGAUGGGAGCGUUAUCCGGUUUUAUUGGGUUUAAAGGGUGCGUAGGCGGAAGGUUAAGUCAGCGUGCAAAUGUCGGUGCUCAACACCGGCCUGCCGUUGAAACUGGUCUGCUUGAGUGAGCGAGAAGUAGGCGGAAUGCGUGGUGUAGCGGUGAAAUGCAUAGAUAUCACGCAGAACUCCGAUUGCGAAGGCAGCAUGCCGGAGCGCAACUGACGCUGAGGCACGAAAGCGUGGGGAUCGAACAGGAUUAGAUACCCCUGUAGUC